UGGUGGUGCGAGCUGUCUGGUUGAUUCCGUUAACGAACGAGACCUUUGUUGAAUAAUAGCAGGUUCAAGAUAUUGCGUCAAGGCAGGGGUGUACAUAUGAGGCAAGCCUUCGGGCCCCUUUUAUUGCAUGCGCCUCUGUUGCUUUUCUAGAAUACAGCUUCUUUUCAAGACUAAUGCGGAAAACGCAUUGGAAGUUAUAGGCAAAACA
rnacentral:rRNA from 1 species